GUAUAUUCAAAACUGUUUAUAUAAAAUCUUGAUUUAUUUUUAAUUUAGGAAAGGUAAUAAUUAUAUUCAAACUUGAUUCUUUUUUGGGGGGGAAUAUAUACGUUCACAAUACAAAUUUACAGAUUUGUGCCCCAUUAUCUAGGUUUUUCCUCUAUAACCGUGUGUGAAAACAUACAUGCUAAUGUGUCACAGUUCUAUCAGUUUACAUUGUUAGAACAUAUUUUUAUGAAAUAAUUACGUGUGAGUUUGUUUAUUACGGAGGUCACUUGGAACUGGUAUCUGUGGGUGUUUAUAUAUACAGUAUCUCACAAAACUGAGUAUACCUCUCACAUUUUUGUAAUUAUUUUAUUAUAUCUUUUCAUGUGACA